rnacentral:rRNA from 1 species
GAUGAACGCUGACAGAAUGCUUAACACAUGCAAGUCUACUGUGGCGGACGGGUGCGUAACGCGUAAAGAACUUGCCUCACAGUUAGGGACAACAUUUGGACACGAAUGCUAAUACCUGAUACUGUGAGAGAGCUUUGCGUCCCAUUAGCUAGUUUGAGAGGCAACGUCUCACCAAGGCGAUGAUGGGUAGCCGGCCUGAGAGUGUGAGCGGCCACAAGGGGACUGAGACACGGCCCUUAAUCCUACGGGAGGCAGGAGUGGGGAAUAUUGGACAACGGACCAAAGUCUGAUCCAGCAAUUCUGUGUGCACGAUGAAGUUUUCGGAAUGUAAAGUGAUUUCAGUUGGGAAGCGGUACCAACAGAAGAAGUGACGGCUAAAUACGUGCCAGCCGCCGCGGUAAUUC